GAUGAACGCUGGCGGCGUGCCUAAUACAUGCAAGUCGAGCGAACAGACGAGGAGCUUGCUCCUCUGACGUUAGCGGCGGACGGGUGAGUAACACGUGGAUAACCUACCUAUAAGACUGGGAUAACUUCGGGAAACCGGAUCUAAUACCGGAUAAUAUAUUGAACCGCAUGGUUCAUUAGUGAAAGACGGUUUUGCUGUCACUUAUAGAUGGAUCCGCGCUGCUUUAGCUAGUUGGUAGGGUAACGGCUUACCAAGGCGACGAUGGGUAGCCGACCUGAGAGGGGGAUAGGCCACACUGGAACUGGAACACGGUCCAGACUCCUACGGGAGGCAGCAGUAGGGAAUCUUCGGCAAUGGGCGAAAGCCUGACGCAGCAAGGCCGCGUGAGUGAUGAAGGUCUUCGGAGCGUAAAGCUCUGUUAUUAGGGAAGAACAACUGUGUAAGUAGAUGUGCCCGUCUUGACGGUACCUAAUCAAAAAGCACCGGCUAACUACGUG
rnacentral:rRNA from 1 species